GCAAACAGGAUUAGAUACCCUGGUAGUCCACUCCGUAAACGAUGGGCACUAGGGGAUUGGGGGAUCGACCCCCUGAGUGCCGGCGCUAACGCAUGAAGUGCCCCGCCUGGGGAGUACGGCCGCAAGGCUAAAACUCAAAAGAAUUGACGGGGGCUCGCACAAGCGGUGGAGCAUGUGGUUCAAUUCGACGCAACGCGAAGAACCUUACCUGGGUUUGACAUGCAGGAGAAAGCUCGCAGAAACGUGAGCCCCUCUUCGGAGUUCCUGCACAGAUGCUGCAUGGCUGUCGUCAGCUCGUGUCGUGAGAUGUUGGGUUAAGUCCCGCAACGAGCGCAACCCUCAUCUCCAGUUACCAGCGGGUAAUGCCGGGGACUCUGGAGGGACUGCCGGUGCCAAACCGGAGGAAGGUGGGGAUGACGUCAAGUCAUCAUGGCUCUUACAUCCAGGGCUACACACGUGCUACAAUGGCCGAGACAGAGGGCUGCGAACUCGCGAGAGGGAGCCAAUCCCCAAACUCGGCCUCAGUUCGGAUUGCAGUCUGCAACUCGACUGCAUGAAGCUGGAAUCGCUAGUAAUCGUGGAUCAGCUACGCCACGGUGAAUACGUUCCCGGGCCUUGUACACACCGCCCGUCACGCCAUGGAAGCUGUGAGUGCCCGAAGUCGGUGCCGCAACCGCAAGGAGCAAGCCGCCGAAGGCAAGCGCAGUGACUGGGGCGAAGUCGUAACAAGGUAGCCGUAGGGGAACCUGCGGCUG
rnacentral:rRNA from 1 species